CCUACGGGGGGCUGCAGUGGGGAAUAUUGCACAAUGGGCGCAAGCCUGAUGCAGCCAUGCCGCGUGUGUGAAGAAGGCCUUCGGGUUGUAAAGCACUUUCAGCGGGGAGGAAGGCGUUAAGGUUAAUAACCUUGGCGAUUGACGUUACCCGCAGAAGAAGCACCGGCUAACUCCGUGCCAGCAGCCGCGGUAAUACGGAGGGUGCAAGCGUUAAUCGGAAUUACUGGGCGUAAAGCGCACGCAGGCGGUCUGUCAAGUCGGAUGUGAAAUCCCCGGGCUCAACCUGGGAACUGCAUUCGAAACUGGCAGGCUAGAGUCUUGUAGAGGGGGGUAGAGUUCCAGGUGUAGCGGUGAAAUGCGUAGAGGUCUGGAGGAAUACCGGUGGCGAAGGCGGCCCCCUGGACAAAGACUGACGCUCAGGUGCGAAAGCGUGGGGAGCAAACAGGAUUAAUACCCCUGUAGUC
rnacentral:rRNA from 1 species